CUUUUCCAAGUUAUGGUAUCUUCUUGUUUAGCUGCUGGGUGCCUGGCUUAGAGGACCAGGAGUCCUCUAAGGAGGCUAGGCUGUAUGCUGGAGGCUAGAGAUGUGGCACCGCAACACCAUCGCUCGCCUAGCUGCCGUUGGUGGUGACAAAGGAGACUGCUUCACACCUGGAGCGGCUGUUGCUUUUGAAAGGGGAGCCUGGAUCUCCCUCCUGUUUGCUUGGGGGCAAACACAUAGUAUCAUGGCCUUGUGAAGACAGGUUGCCUGCACCAGAUAGCAACACUGGCUGUAGUUCUGAAAAUAAAGAUCUAUUUGAAGAAUUCAGAGAAUCUAUGGAAGACAGCUCUGCUUGCCCUGAAGCAAAGAAACCCAGGGACCUGGCUCCACAACCUCUGAAGUUGAUGUUAGGUCCAGCUAAUGUUUGUCCUCUAAAAAGAGUGAAAGUGGAAUUUUCUGUCAGUUAUACUAGUGCUCCAUUCCAGUAGCUACAUUAAAGAAUGUGGAAAAAAGAUGAGUCUUUCUGAUUGUCUGAAUAGAAGUGGAUCAUUUCCACUAGAACAGCUUCAAAGCUCCCCCCAACUUUUACACAAUAUCCAUUGCUUAGAGGUAU